UAGUUGCAUUUGGUCAUGUGACUGAGAAG
rnacentral:piRNA from 2 species